UGGGGAAUUUUGGACAAUGGGCGAAAGCCUGAUCCAGCAAUGCCGCGUGUGUGAAGAAGGCCUUCGGGUUGUAAAGCACUUUUGUCCGGAAAGAAAUCCUUGGCUCUAAUACAGUCGGGGGAUGACGGUACCGGAAGAAUAAGCACCGGCUAACUACGUGCCAGCAGCCGCGGUAAUACGUAGGGUGCAAGCGUUAAUCGGAAUUACUGGGCGUAAAGCGUGCGCAGGCGGUUUGCUAAGACUGAUGUGAAAUCCCCGGGCUCAACCUGGGAACUGCAUUGGUGACUGGCAGGCUAGAGUAUGGCAGAGGGGGGUAGAAUUCCACGUGUAGCAGUGAAAUGCGUAGAGAUGUGGAGGAAUACCGAUGGCGAAGGCAGCCCCCUGGGCCAAUACUGACGCUCAUGCACGAAAGCGUGGGGAGCAAAACAGGAUUAGAUACCCUGGUAGUCCACGCCCUAAACGAUGUCAACUAGUUGUUGGGGAUUCAUUUCCUUAGUAACGUAGCUAACGCGUGAAGUUGACCGCCUGGGGAGUACGGUCGCAAGAUUAAAACUCAAAGGAAUUGACGGGGUCAUAGCUGUUUCCU
rnacentral:rRNA from 1 species